UACGUAGGGUGCGAGCGUUGUCCGGAAUUAUUGGGCGUAAAGAGCUUGUAGGCGGUCUGUCGCGUCUGCUGUGAAAAUCCGGGGCUCAACCCCGGACUUGCAGUGGGUACGGGCAGACUAGAGUGUGGUAGGGGAGACUGGAAUUCCUGGUGUAGCGGUGAAAUGCGCAGAUAUCAGGAGGAACACCGAUGGCGAAGGCAGGUCUCUGGGCCAGUACUGACGCUGAGGAGCGAAAGCGUGGGGAGCGAACAGG
rnacentral:rRNA from 1 species